GAACGACUCUCGGCAACGGAUAUCUCGGCUCUCGCAUCGAUGAAGAACGUAGCGAAAUGCGAUACUUGGUGUGAAUUGCANAAUCCCGUGAACCAUCGAGUCUUUGAACGCAAGUUGCGCCCGAAGCCUUCGGGCCAAGGGCACGUCUGCCUGGGCGUCACGCA
rnacentral:rRNA from 1 species